rnacentral:rRNA from 1 species
AAUAGAUACCCGGGUAGUCCACGCCGUAAACGAUGAGUGCUAAGUGUUAGAGGGUUUCCGCCCUUUAGUGCUGCAGCUAACGCAUUAAGCACUCCGCCUGGGGAGUACGGUCGCAAGACUGAAACUCAAAGGAAUUGACGGGGGCCCGCACAAGCGGUGGAGCAUGUGGUUUAAUUCGAAGCAACGCGAAGAACCUUACCAGGUCUUGACAUCCCACUGACCGGUAUAGAGAUAUACCUUUCCCUUCGGGGACAGUGGUGACAGGUGGUGCAUGGUUGUCGUCAGCUCGUGUCGUGAGAUGUUGGGUUAAGUCCCGCAACGAGCGCAACCCUUGAUCUUAGUUGCCAGCAUUUAGUUGGGCACUCUAAGGUGACUGCCGGUGACAAACCGGAGGAAGGUGGGGAUGACGUCAAAUCAUCAUGCCCCUUAUGACCUGGGCUACACACGUGCUACAAUGGAUGGUACAAAAGGGCUGCAAGACUGCGAAGUCAAGCCAAUCCCAUAAAAACCAAUUCUCAGUUCGGAUUGCAGG